GACGAACGCUGGCGGCGUGCUUAACACAUGCAAGUCGAACGGAAAGGCCCUGCUUUUGUGGGGUGCUCGAGUGGCGAACGGGUGAGUAACACGUGAGUAACCUGCCCUUGACUUUGGGAUAACUUCAGGAAACUGGGGCUAAUACCGGAUAGGAGCUCCUGCUGCAUGGUGGGGGUUGGAAAGUUUCGGCGGUUGGGGAUGGACUCGCGGCUUAUCAGCUUGUUGGUGGGGUAGUGGCUUACCAAGGCUUUGACGGGUAGCCGGCCUGAGAGGGUGACCGGCCACAUUGGGACUGAGAUACGGCCCAGACGCCUACGGGAGGCAGCAGUGGGGAAUAUUGCACAAGGGGCGGAAGCCUGAUGCAGCAACGCCGCGGGCGGGAUGACGGCCUUCGGGUUGUAAACCGCUUUCGCCUGUGACGAAGCGUGAGUGACGGUAAUGGGUAAAGAAGCACCGGCUAACUACGU
rnacentral:rRNA from 1 species